rnacentral:lncRNA from 10 species
GUCAAGUAUCUUUAAUAAGAGAAAAGCAAAAUGUUUCAUGUAAAGAAAUACUAAGAAAUAUAAGUUUGGAUGAAUGAGAAAACAUCCUCUAAAGUAACAGAAAGUAGACAUCUUCCCUUAAAGCAGGAGUUAUAGACAGCAAUGAAAUUUGUUCCAGAAACCAAUCAUCAUUUCGGGGGAAGAAUAGGACUGAAUCUUAAUGGAAACUGGCAAGAAUUUCACUUUGAUAGUACUGAAAUGAUGCAGGGAGACAUAUUUUAUAGGAGUGAGUGUUAGUAUUUUUAAAGCUUUAUUGAGGUAUAGUUAUACACCACAAAAUUCAUCCAUUGCAUGUAUACUAUUUCAUGAUUUUAAGUAAAUUUAAAGAGUUGUGCAUCCUACUCCACAAUCCAGCUAUAGAGUAUUUCCAUCAAACCUCUCCCAUCCUCUAAAAAAAUUCCUUUGAGUUCUAUUUGCAAUCAAUACUGUGAAAGACUCACUGUCCCCCAGACCUAGUCUUGGACAACCUCUGCUUUCUGUCUCUAUAAAUUUGUCAUCUCUGGACACUUCAUACAAAUCCAAUCAUUCAAUAUGUCACCUUUUGCAUCUGGUUUCUUUUACUUAGCAUAAUGUUUUUGAAGUUCACCCACGUUGAAGCAUGUGUCAGUAUUUUAUUCUUUUUAUUAUUUGCAUGGAUAUGUCACAUUUUAUUUAUCUACUUGCAAAAUUGAUAGAAAUCUGAGGGUUUUUUUUUUUUUUUUUGGUGUGGGGUUAUUCUGAAUAAUGCUGCUAUGAAUAUUUGAGUUGUGUUGAUUCCUAGGAGUGGAAUUGUUGGGUCAUAGGAUAAGCUUAUGUUUAACUUUUUAAAAACUGCCAUAUUGUACCAUAGUAUAUAAACAGAACUUUUUUUCUUUAGAGUUAAAGAUAUAAAACUCAUGUGUUGAUAUGAAUAGUAAAUAUGAAAAUCUAAAAUUUAGGUACCAAGCACACUGUUAUGGAUGGAAUCUAAAAUUCAUAUGUUGAAAUCCUAACCACCAGUAUGCCUAUAUUUACAGAUGGUCUGGGACCUCUAAGGAAGUAAUUAAAGUUAAGUAAGGUAAUAAGUCUGGGGCCAAGAUCUGAUGAGAUUACUGUACUCAUAAGAAGAGAUACCAGAGAGCUUGGACUCUCUCUCUGUCUCUAUCCAUGUGCACUGAGGAAAGGCCAUGUGAGCACUUGAUGAGGAGGCAGCCAUCUGCAACCCAAGGGGAGACUCUU